rnacentral:misc_RNA from 1 species
GAUGAAGAACGUAGCGAAAUGCGAUAAGUAAUGCGAAUUGCAGAAUUCCGUGAGUCAUCGAAUCUUUGAACGCACAUUGCGCCCGCGAGUAUUCUCGCGGGCAUGCCUGUCCGAGCGUCAUUUCAACCCUCAGGGCCCGCCUGCUUGCAGGCGCGGCGCUGGUGUUGGGGAUCGGCUACCCUGCCGUCCCCCAAAUACAGUGGCGGUCUCGCUGCAGCCUCCCCUGCGUAGUAGCAACACUCGCAUGCGGAGCGCGGCGCGGCCACGCCGUAAAACCCCCGACUUUCUGAACGUUGACCUCGGAUCAGGUAGGAAUACCCGCUGAACUUAAGCAUAUCAAUAAGCGGAGGA